rnacentral:tRNA from 1 species
GGAGGAUUACCCAAGCGGUCUAAGGGGCCGGUUUCGAAAACCGUUAGAAGUUUAACAGCUUGCGUGAGUUCGAAUCUCACAUCCUCCGCCA